rnacentral:rRNA from 1 species
UACGGAGGGGGCUAGCGUUGUUCGGAAUUACUGGGCGUAAAGCGCACGUAGGCGGCUUUGUAAGUUAGAGGUGAAAGCCCGGGGCUCAACUCCGGAACUGCCUUUAAGACUGCAUCGCUUGAAUCAUGGAGAGGUCAGUGGAAUUCCGAGUGUAGAGGUGAAAUUCGUAGAUAUUCGCAAGAACACCAGUGGCGAAGGCGGCUCACUGGUCCGGUACUGACGCUGAGGUGCGAAAGCGUGGGGAGCAAACAGG